CUGCUGGAUUUCGCGGCAGGUUCUACAUUUUGAUUUCAUUCUUUCUCGAUUGGGUUCUUUCGUUGGAUUUAAGUAUUGGGCUUUUGAUGGAAGUUGUUUGAUUCUCCUUUGGAUUUCGUUCGUUUUCGAUUAGAUUUUUUGCUUGAUUUAAAAAUUGGGGGUUUUCGUAUUCGUUAGAUUUUUCUGACUGUAUGGAUGAAUAUGAUGAAAGUUAUGAUGCAUGGUGAUCGCCUCGAUGUGAUGAAGAUGUUUUCGCUACGUUCUUUCUGAUUCAUAUCCUAAAUAUGAAGGAUUUAUUUUUAUGUUUUUGUUUUUGUUUUCAAAAUUUAUGAAUUUGUUUUUAUUUUUGGAAUUAUAUGAAUGAGGAAGAUGAUGAAACCAGAAAAUCUUAGGACACCUUCUGACGCAGUGAAAGAUUGCUGUGUAUGAGAAAGAUUUUCAGUUUCUGAUGCUUAUUAUGAUGAUAAUAAACAAAUUUUUGAACUCUAUUUUUGUUUUAGUAAAAAAAAUUAAUAAUAAUAAAUUUCUUUAAAGCUAAAACUUUUUUUUUUUGGUAAAAUUAAAAUAUUUUAUUCAUUUAUUUAUUUUCAUACUUUUUUAAAAAUGAAUUGAAAAGUCUUUUUUUUUUUUUUUUUUAAUUUAAGAGGAAUUCUUUUUUAAUAAAAUUGAAGAAGAUGAAUCCUUUAUAAUUUUUUUAAUAAAAGUGAAAUAACCAUAUUUAUGAAUUAAAGCUAUUUUUUAAAAUAAGAAAAUUUAUAACUUUUUUUAUAUGUGGUUAUCAAAAUCAUUUUUUUUAUUGAAGCAUUUUUCUCAUAAAAUUAUACAAAUAUUUUUUCCUAAAAAUGGUAGUCCUUUUUUAAUAAUAAAGUUUGGAUUGAAACAUCUUUUAAUAAAUAAAAUUGUUAAAUUUUUUAGUAGAGUUAAGCAAAAGAUUUUUUAGAUAAAAUUGUAAUUUUGUUUUUAAAGGGCAACAUUCUUUUUUAAGUAAAAUUGUAAAAAAAAAUCUCUUUUUUAAAAAAAAGUAAAAUUAUAAUUUUUUUAAUAAAAAUUAAGAAAAAAAUUCUUUGGUUUUUAGAUAAAAUUAUAAUUCCUUUUUAAAGGCAAAAUUCUUUUUUAAGUAAAUUUGUAAAAAUAUUUUGUUUCUUAAAGGCAAAUUUUUUUAUAAGUAAAAUUGUAAAAAAUAAAAUAAAAUAAUGAAAAUUGUAUAAUUUUUUUGAAGGGAAAUUUCUAUUUUUAAGUGAAAUUGUAAAAAUUCUUCUUUUUCUUCUUCUUCUUUUAAGGCAAGAUUUCCAUUUUAAAAGUAAAAUUGUAAAAAAAAAAAAAUUAAUAAAAGUUAAGCAAAUUUUUUUAGAUAGAAUUGUAAAAAUCUUAUUUUAAAGGUGAAAUUCUUUUUUUAGAUAAAAUAAUUGUUGUUAAGGCAAAUUUUUUUUUUUUUUUUAAGUAAAAUUGUAAUAAUUUUUUUUUAAUAAAAGUUAAGCAAAAUUCUUUUUUAUAUGAAAUUAUAAAAAAAUUUAUCUAUUACUUUUUUAAGAAUAAAAUUAUGAAAAUCAUUUUUUAAUAAAGUUGGAUAAAAUGCAUUUUUCUUGUAAAUAAAAUCAGAUUAAAAAUUUUCUCUUUAAAUAAAAUUGCAUUCAAAUAUUUCUUUUAAUGACAAUGAGUAAAAUUUUUGUUUAAAUAAAAAUGCAUGUAAAUAUUGAUCAAAUGAUUUGUUGUAAAUAAAUUAAAACGCCUGGAGCAAAUAACUAAGUUGAAAUGGAAGUUGUUUUAAUGCAAAUAAUUUUUUUUUGAGAUUCCUUGAAAAUGUGUUGUAUUAUUUGAAAUAAUCAAAUCAUUUUUUAAAUAAAUUAAUUUGUAUAAUUCUUCAAAUAUUUAUAUGUAUUUUUUUUCAAUGUUAAUACAAACAAUUUUUCAUUUAAAUAAAUAAUUUUUUUUAUUUAAAAAAAAAAGAGUAAUUUCUUUGAUAUAUUUCUUAUAAAAGAUAUAUUAAUUAUUCAUAAUAUCAAAAUAGCCAAAAAUUUUACAUCCAUAUAGGGAAAAGUGUGUUUUUAUAUACAUAUAUGAAAACAAAAUCAUAAAAUAGGAACCCAAAUAAAUAUAAUUUUAAAUAGUUAUUUAAAAAUAAUUAGUAUUAUAUAUAUAUUUUUUGUUAUAUUAUCUUUGACUAUUACUACAAUCUUUUUAUGAUAUAAGUACUUUCAUGUUAAGUAAUAAAACUUGAAUUGUUUUUAAAGCCUUACUAUUUUUGUAAUUAUUUUUAUUUAUUUUUUUCACAUUUAAAACAAUAUAAUAAAAGGUUAUUUGAUUAAAAGGGUUUUUAAAAAUUCAAAUUUUGAAAUUUGACCUUUUACCUUUUUCCAGGAACAAAAAUACUCUUUUUUUUUGAAAAAAAUAACCAUAUUUUUUUUUUAACUUUUCUAUAAACUAGUAAGUGUACAUGUGUCAAAACACGUGAGAGAAUAUGAAAAAAAUUUCAACAAAAAAAUUAAUAUGUGAAUUUAUUCUUUUAAAACUUGUAUAAAAAUCAAGUAGAGAUUUAAUAUCAAAUAAUUGAAUUAAAUACAAAACCAACUAUUAAAAAAAUUGGGAUUACAUAUAAAUAAGAUUAUGACACCAAAUUACAUGAUAAUAAAAAAAAAAAAAACCAAUUUUCUUAGAUUAAAAAAAUAAAUAUCACCUUGGUACUUGGUUAUAGUAUUUAACAAUUUUAAUUUAAAUACAUUGUUUAUUUUUUUUACACUAAAUUUGUAUUUUUUUGUGUUAAUUAUUUUAUAUAUAGUUAAAUACUUUUUUCCUUUUAUAUAAGAGCUUUUUAAUAAAAAUAAGAACAAAAAUGAAUUAAUUUGAACAAGAAAUUUAUGGAUUAAAAAAAAUAAAAUCUCAAACCUAUAACUUUAUCCAAUAGAACCCAUUGGAAGAGUUGAAGAUAAAAAAUUGAAAAGAAUAGAGAAUAACAAAAUAAGAGAAAAGUUUUCAAACUUUAAAGAUGAAAAAUGAAAUGAUCGCAAAACAUUUGAAAAGUUUUCAAAUUUUUAAUGAUGAAAUUUUAUAUCAUUAAUCAAUAUUAAUAGAGUUUAAAGAGAAUAAAAUUUAUAAUGGAUUAUAUUGGCAGAUUGAAGAGUUGGUUACAUCCAUAAGCUCCCAUUGUAUUCGAAUGUUAUGGGCGUUUAGGUGAAUGCAUUAUAAGACUAGGGUAUAUAUAUUUUUCGAUAGCAAUUGCUUUUAGACGUCAAAUAAUUAAAACUCUAACUAAUUGAAAAAAAAUAAAUUCUCAUUUAAAUUUAUUAUUAAUAUUAAAAAAGAGUAUUUUUGGAAAUAAAAAGUGAAAAACAAUUCGUAUUUUUAUAUAGGUAGUAUAGAUACUUAAAAUCAUAAAAGAUAUUUAUGAAAAAAAAUAAUUUUUAAAAUUUUUUUUUAAAAUGAAAGACAAUGAUUAGAUUUUAGGGAUUUAUUUUCCCUUACAUGAAUGUAUGUGAACAAAGGCAGCCUAGAUCUAGCGUCUGGGUUGUGUCCAGACAGUUGAAGCGUAUACCAGAUUGUCUCUCUGGGAAGUAUACAUCGCUUUGGUGGUAAUCCUCGCAUGCAAUUUUUUUUUUUUUUUUAGUUGUUUCUGAACCUUUUGAUUGAUAUGAUAGUUUGCAUUUUAUGUGGGUUAAGAUGGUGGAAGAUCAGGUUUGAUAGCGCAGUUAGCUUUUUCAAAGUGCACAUCAACUGUUUGAUAAAAGUUCUUCAUAGAACUGGGUGAUUACAUUCUGGACUAAUUUCACACUAGAGCUGACUGAAACAAAAGCAUUUAGGAAAGGAAGUGAAUGAGAGAAAAGAUAUAGGGAAAAAAAUCCAACACAAUAGAAGUAGGAAGAGCUCAUCAACAUUUGAAAUGAAACUUCUGCUGAGCCCAUUACUUGUUAAUAUCUGUAAAGGAUUCAAGUUAAUAAUAAAAUAUGAAAGGAAAUUUUUAUAGGAUCCAUAUUGACAUGUAUUGUUGUAUCUAUCUAAGACCCAAUUCAGCUUAAUUGGCAGCUAUUGGACAUUGUACCAACAAUGCAUUAAGAUAGUAAAGCAUGAAUUUGAACCCACAGAAAUCAAUUGCUCAGAGUGAUACCUGAUUUUCUGGUAAGGAAAAAAUAAUGGAACAGAAAUUCAGCAUCUCCUCAAAGCUUAACUAGGGAGACAUUGUGAAUUUUGAGCAGGAAAAUCUAGUCUAAGAAAUGAUAAUGACAUCAAUGUUAUUUAAAGACUUUUGAGUGCUUUCUGGUUGGAGAAGAAAAAUAAGAAAUGAUGAGGUAGGCCAAUGUCCUAGCCAAAAGAGGGUCUACCAUGUAUUAGAACUUUAGUUGAGCUAGGGGUGUUCCAGAUUAUUUUGACGUCUGAUAGUGACUCAAUGGAAAGCUCCUGCGUUUAGAGGUCUUGUACUCAGUGAUGAGUUCAAGCCUUAGAAGUAUGCAGAAGGAUAGGUCUGGAAUAAGCCUUGUAUGAGUC
rnacentral:lncRNA from 1 species